rnacentral:rRNA from 1 species
AUGAACGCUAGCUACAGGCUAACACACGCAAGUCGAGGGGCAGCAUGAACUUAGCUUGCUAAGUUUGAUGGCGACCGGCGCACGGGUGAGUAACACGUAUCCAACCUGCCGAUGACUCGGGGAUAGCCUUUCGAAAGAAAGAUUGAUACCCGAUGGCAUAAUUCUUCCGCAUGGUAGAACUAUUAAAGAAUUUCGGUCAUCGAUGGGGAUGCGUUCCAUUAGGUUGUUGGCGGGGUAACGGCCCACCAAGCCUUCGAUGGAUAGGGGUUCUGAGAGGAAGGUCCCCCACAUUGGAACUGAGACACGGUCCAAACUCCUACGGGAGGCAGCAGUGAGGAAUAUUGGUCAAUGGACGAGAGUCUGAACCAGCCAAGUAGCGUGAAGGGUGACUGCCCUAUGGGUUGUAAACUUCUUUUAUACGGGAAUAAAGUGAGGCACGUGUGCCUUUUUGUAUGUACCGUAUGAAUAAGGAUCGGCUAACUCCGUGCCAGCAGCCGCGGUAAUACGGAGGAUCCGAGCGUUAUCCGGAUUUAUUGGGUUUAAAGGGAGCGUAGGCGGACGCUUAAGUCAGUUGUGAAAGUUUGCGGCUCAACCGUAAAAUUGCAGUUGAUACUGGGUGUCCUGAGUACAGUAGAGGCAGGCGGAAUUCGUGGUGUAGCGGUGAAAUGCUUAGAUAUCACGAAGAACUCCGAUUGCGAAGGCA